rnacentral:rRNA from 1 species
UACAGAGGAGCCAAGCGUUGUCCGGAUUGACUGGGCGUAAAGCGCACGCAGGCGGACGCGCGCGUGGGGUGUGAAAUCUGGCCGCUUAACGGCCAGGCGCCAUCCCAUACGGCGUGUCUGGAGUGAUGCAGAGGUCGAUGGAAUUGCCGGUGUAGCGGUGAAAUGCGUAGAGAUCCGGAAGAACACCGGUGGCGAAGGCGGCCCGCUGGGCAGUGGCUGACGCUGAAGCGCGACAGCGUGGGGAGCAAACAGG